AUUGAACGCUGGCGGCAUGCUUUACACAUGCAAGUCGAACGGCAGCACGGGGGCAACCCUGGUGGCGAGUGGCGAACGGGUGAGUAAUGCAUCGGAACGCGUCCUGUAAUGGGGGAUAACCUAGCGAAAGUUAGGCUAAUACCGCAUACGUCCUGAGGGAGAAAGCGGGGGAUCGUAAGACCUCGUGUUAUAGGAGCGGCCGAUGUCGGAUUAGCUAGUUGGUGGGGUAAAGGCCUACCAAGGCAACGAUCUGUAGUUGGUCUGAGAGGACGACCAGCCACACUGGGACUGAGACACGGCCCAGACUCCUACGGGAGGCAGCAGUGGGGAAUUUUGGACAAUGGGCGCAAGCCUGAUCCAGCAAUGCCGCGUGCAGGAAGAAGGCCU
rnacentral:rRNA from 1 species